UUUAAAAAACAAAAAUCCAUCUAACAGAAUCGAGGUGGGAGAGGAGCGGGGUUGUCAGAGUAAAAAUCUUUCCCAAUUUCUAUUCUUCUAUCUACUACCUAGUUUAUGGAUUACCACUUUUCUUGUGGAAAUUAUUUCCCUCUAUUUCUUAGUUAGUAAUGCCCAAAGUUGAGCUUAGUUCAAAAUCUACGAACUACUAAUCAGCAGGAAGAACUCAGCUUACCUAGUUCUCGGCGUUGUGUUUAUGGCCCUUGGAAACAAAUUCCACAAUAAUCCGGCGUUUUACCCACCAAAUAAGCAGGUAAAACUUUUGUAAUACUUUCAUAUCAAACUACUUUCGUGUGAUCCACGGUGAGAGAAUGGAUCUCUCCCCCCCCAAAAAAAAACAAUCACAAACCGAUCAGUAAAACCACGUAGGUAUGUGGUAUAGUUCACGUGUGGUACACAAACCAUUAGUUGAAAAAGAACUGCGGACGGUUGGACACUUGGACGAGAGAGAAAAAAAAGCUGCAUAAACGAUCUGAACAGCCAAAAGAAGAGAAACUGAGUAAUGUGCACACCGUAUACCAUAUAAACAAUUAUGUUGCGUGGAAAAAUUAUAAAUAUACACAAGAUAAGAGAUAUCGAGAGCAACUAAACAGAUAUCUGGAUAUAAUGCAGCAUAACCUUGCGUAUUAUAGAAGCAUUAUUUUAAUCGAUGGAAAAAUACCGAUUAGAAAAUUGACGAUGCAUCAAUUUUUUGCCACGAAUUUCCAAGCGUUGAAAUUUUUUCUCAACGACUCAUUCAAUUCAGUACCACACGAAGUAAAAUUCCUUACUGUGUUGUGAGCGAGGCACAUUUUACGCAGAUAAAUUAUAGGCUGGACACGUUUGAACGAAGGAUACGCCAAAAGGUAAAGAAGUAGCGAAAAAAUUCACGAAUGUCGUAAAAAAAAUACACCUAUAUAGAGGGAUAUCACGUCCCAAACAUAUACGAUGAAUCAAUCAAUGGCGAUCAAUCGCGCCAAUAAGAAAUGAAUUUUUUCAACGAUGAAGAGGACGAAGAUCUAGGUGUCAUUGAAUGUGAAAAUCAUGACCGCGGUUUCGAUUUUUCUCUCGUAAACUAUUCUAGAUGACAUACGAUCUCUAAACGGAAGCUAAAAAGUGGUAAGGUAUUGACCUUCGACUACCUGUGUGUGUGUGUUUUUUUUCUACCUAUAUGAUUAUUUCAUUCGUCAUUCUAUUGAAAAUUUAUAUUCUUCUUACGUUCGUUACAGCGAUAAAUUUUUUCCACUUGAAUUUAUUGGACACCCAGUGACAUAAUUACACAUCCGAAUGUAAACAAUAAUAUAAAUAUCACGUGUCCAGACGAUGCUAUGAGCAAAAAAAAAAUGUAUUCUUCCAAAUGUAAAUAUAGCACUUUUCUCGUCUACUAGAUUUAAAAUUGGCAUACCUACACUCGUAUACAUUUAAGAGAUUAUGAAAAAACCCACCAAUUGGUCCAAUUAUAACGUAACGUAACGUGACUGAAAUUUUUUAAAUUUAAGACCAGCGUUUAAAUUAAUUACCUACCCAAUACCUAUGAAAUUUAUCGCGAAAAGUGAUCUGUGUAAUUGAAAACACGAGUUCCAUAAUAGUAUACUGGCAAUAAAACGUUGCAAAUUGAAUUUAUUUAUAAAUUAUCGUUUAAGAAGUUCAUUUAUAUGUAUAUGGUUUAAUAAGCACUUUUCAUUUGCUUGUUUUCAACAACACUUUUCUUACAUAAAACUGCCAACAGGAAAUUUCAAUAAAAGAGUCAGUAUAGCGAA